rnacentral:rRNA from 1 species
UGAGGAAUAUUGGUCAAUGGGCGGAAGCCUGAACCAGCCAUGCCGCGUGCAGGAAGGAAGCCCUACGGGUUGUAAACUGCUUUUACCCGGGAAGAAACCGCCCCCUGUGGGGGGCGUUGCCGGUACCGGGGGAAAAAGGAUCGGCUAACUCCGUGCCAGCAGCCGCGGUAAUACGGAGGAUCCGGGCGUUAUCCGGAAUUACUGGGUUUAAAGGGUGCGUAGGCGGGGCUUUAAGCCGGCGGUGAAAUGCAGCGGCUCAACCGCUGGAAUGACGUUGGGACUGGGGCUGUGGGAUACGGUCGGGGAGGGGGGAGCUCGUGGUGUAGCGGUGGAGUGCGUAGGUAUGACGAGGAACGCGGGUAGCGAAGGCAGGGCGGGGGGCCGGUAUUGACGCUGAGGCACGAAAGCGUGGGGA